rnacentral:rRNA from 1 species
UACAGAGGCCUCGAGCGUUAGGCGGAAUCACUGGGCUUAAAGCGUGUGUAGGUGGAUGCCUAAGUACCUUGUGAAAUCCCAUGGCUUAACCAUGGAAUUGCUCGGUAUACUGGGUGUCUUGAGCCACUCAGGGGCUACCGGAACAAGCGGUGGAGCGGUGAAAUGCGUAGAUAUCGCUUGGAACGCCGACGGUGAAAACAGCUCGCUGGGGGUCUUCUGACGCUGAGACACGAAAGCCAGGGGAGCGAACGGG